AUCCAAACUCGGGAAAUAAGUCGGUUCCAGGAACAGCUGAGUCAGCGAGUCGCAAGUGUCCGGACUCACCAAAACCCGAUUCCCUUUAGCUUCCAAGCUCCCCAUAACCACAGCCAGCAACUGCUUAUACCCAUAGAAAAACCUCUUCAACGCUGCCUCUGUCGCCUGCAACCCUUGAAGUAAACUAAUCUUCUCGAAAUCCCUCUUCUCUUUGUACAGUCUCAUCGCCGCCUCCUGGAUUCUCGGCCCACCCUUGGGGUCCACCUCCACGCCUAGAAUCUCCGGAACCUUG
rnacentral:misc_RNA from 1 species